rnacentral:rRNA from 1 species
GACGAACGCUGGCGGCGUGCUUACCACAUGCAAGUCGAACGAAGUGGCGAACGGGUGAGUAACGCGUAAUCAACCUGCCCUUCAGAGGGGGACAACAGUUGGAAACGACUGCUAAUACCGCAUACUGAAGGAGGGGAUUGCGUCUGAGUAGCUAGUUGGAGGGGUAACGGCCCACCAAUGCGAUGAUGAGUAGCCGGUGUGAGAGGAUGACCGGCCACAUUGGGACUUAGACACGGCGCAGACUCCUACGGGAGGCAGCGGUGGGGAAUCGGCCGCAAUGGACGAAAGUCUGACUGAGCAACGCCGCGUGAGUGAUGACGGCCUGCGGGUUGUAAAGCUCUGAUAAUCGGGACGCGGUACCGGAAUAGAAAGCCACGGCUAACUACGUGCCAGCAGCCGCGGUAAUUC